rnacentral:rRNA from 1 species
UUGGAGGGCAAGUCUGGUGCCAGCAGCCGCGGUAAUUCCAGCUCCAAUAGCGUAUAUUAAAGUUGUUGCAGUUAAAAAGCUCGUAGUUGAAUUUCGGGGUCAGCAAGUUGGUCGUGCCACUGGUAUGCACUGGCUUUGCUGAUUCCUCCUUCUUGUAGAACCGUAAUGCCAUUAAGUUGGUGUUGCGGGGAAACAGGACUGUUACUUUGAAAAAAUUAGAGUGUUUAAAGCAGGCUAACGCUUGAAUACAUUAGCAUGGAAUAAUGAAAUAGGACGACGAUCCUAUUUUGUUGGUUUCUAGGAUUGACGUAAUGAUUAAUAGGGAUAGUUGGGGGCAUUAGUAUUCAAUUGUCAGAGGUGAAAUUCUUGGAUUUAUUGAAGACUAACUACUGCGAAAGCAUUUGCCAAGGAUGUUUUCAUUAAUCAAGAACGAAAGUUAGGGGAUCGAAGACGAUCAGAUACCGUCGUAGUCUUAACCAUAAACUAUGCCGACUAGGGAUCGGAUGAUGUUAAUUUUAUAAUGACUCAUUCGGCGCCUUACGGGAAAC